rnacentral:rRNA from 1 species
GUGUCAGCAGCCGCGGUAAAACGUAGGAGGCGAGCGUUAUCCGGAGUUACUGGGCGUAAAGAGCGUGUAGGCGGGUAUGCAAGUUUGGCGUGAAAGCUCCCGGCUAAACUGGGAGAGUGCGCUGAAGACUGCGUAUCUAGAGGCGAGUAGAGGGACGUGGAAUUCCGGGUGUAGUGGUGAAAUGCGUAGAGAUCCGGAGGAACACCAGUGGCGAAGGCGACGUCCUGGGCUUGACCUGACGCUGAGACGCGACAGCACGGGGAGCGAACGGGAUUAGAAACCCUUGUAGUCC